AAAUAAUUUCUGCGGAAUUACCAAAAUAAAUUAAUACAAUGGCAAGCAGGGUCGAUCCCACAGAGAGCAGUUAAAAAUCAUUCAAAUCCCUAAAUCUAUAAAAACGGUGAUGCCACCACGCCUUAAAUUUAAGAGGAGUUAAUUAAACUAAGAAUGCAGAAUUAAAUCAAAUAAAAUACGCUUGAAGUAAAUAUAUGAAAAGGGUAAUUCGGCUCAAAUAAAUCCACUCUAAUUCAAC
rnacentral:lncRNA from 1 species